rnacentral:rRNA from 1 species
UAACCUGCCUUGGAGUGGGGAAUAACACAGUGAAAAUUGUGCUAAUACCGCAUAAUGCAUUUGGAUCGCAUGGUUCUGAAUGCCAAAGAUUUAUCGCUCUGAGAUGGACUCGCGUCUGAUUAGCUAGUUGGCGGGGCAGCGGCCCACCAAGGCGACGAUCAGUAGCCGGACUGAGAGGUUGGCCGGCCACAUUGGGACUGAGACACGGCCCAG